rnacentral:rRNA from 1 species
UACAGAGGGGGCAAGCGUUGUUCGGAAUUACUGGGCGUAAAGGGCGCGUAGGCGGCCUGCUAAGUCGAACGUGAAAUCCCUGGGCUCAACCCAGGAACUGCGUCCGAUACUGGUUGGCUUGAAUCCGGGAGAGGGAUGCGGAAUUCCAGGUGUAGCGGUGAAAUGCGUAGAUAUGGGGAGGAACACCGGUGGCGAAGGCGGCCAUCUGGACGGAUACUGACGCUGAGACGCGAAAGCGUGGGGAGCAAACAGG